AGUGCCCGCAGCGGGUCCGGCAGCCCUGGCCUUAUCCGGGCGUCGGGGCUUCGGCGGGCAUUAGCAGCAGCUGAGAGGCCUGUGAGAGGUUCUGGGGCGCCACCGCAGUCAUUCUGUUCAGCGGGUAUAGGGACUGAAUCCGCUAGUCUGGCCAAAAAAAAAGCACUCAGCCACAUCCUACUCCCCAAUAAAUGUCUCUGGGGUCUUCAUUUUCUCUUCCGGCUGAUCCUCAGUUCAUCCAGUUCCUUCUCCAUUAAGUGGGAUUCAGCAGUGGACUCUGAAAGCUGAAAGUGAAGCAGCGGCUGUUAGCAAGCAGCACAUUUCUAGGAAAUGUUUCGGGUUAGCAAGGCCGGCCCUACACACGGAGGAAAGGCCCCCUGCCACUUCUCUGAUGCUGCUGGCUUCCUCGAUGGGAAACCCUCUGUAACUGGGUAGAAUGCAACCCCUGAUGACCCAGGACCACAAGUACUUGAAGAAUAUUCACAGUCCACUCUGUCAGCACGCUGUCACCCACGAGGGCAUGGCACUCCCUGCACGAAGGAGAGCAGGUCUCAGAGGACGUCAAAGGCAGAUACUGGUGAUUGUAAGGCUAAGGGAUUAGAGCUGAAAUUGAUUCUAAGCUGUAGCUCCCAUAAUGGGGAUGAGGGGAAAAAAUGCUAGAAAUAGAAUGCCACUUUCCUCCUUAGGGUUUUUUUGUUUUUGUUUUUUGGUUUGUUUGUUUUCUGAGACACGGUCUCGCUCUGUCGGCCAGGCUGGGUGCUUUUCUUGUACUAACUCACUAUGAGGUAGAUACUACGAUUAUGCUCAUUUUUAAAAAAAAACAUCCAGGCCGGGCGUGGUGGCUCAUGCCUGUAAUCUCAGCACUUUGGGAGGCCAAGACAGGGAGAUCACUUGAGGUCAGGCGUUGGAGACCAGCCUGGCCAACAUGGUGAAACCCCAUCUCUACUAAAAAUGCAAAAAUUAGCCAAGCGUGGUGGCGGGUGCUAAUCAGGAGGCUGAUGCAGGAGAAUCACUUGAACCCGGGAGGCAGAGGUUGCAGUGGGGCAGUGGGUGGAGAUCAUGCCACUGUACUCCAGCCCAGGCUACAGAGCGAGACUCUGUCUAAAAUAAAUAAAUAAAUAAAAAUAAAAAUAAAAAAACAUCCAGCCUAAAAUGUCAGUCUUUUUCUUUUUUUUUUUUCCAAGAUGGGGUCUCACUCUGUUGCCCAGGCUAGAGUACAGUGGCGCGAUCUCAGCCCACUGCAACCUCCACCUCCCGGGUUCAAGCAAUUCUCCUGCCUCAGCCUCCUGAGUAGCUGGGAUUAUAGGCGCAUGCCAUCACACCCAGCUAAUUUUUGUAUUUUUAGUAGAGACAAGGUUUCACCAUGUUGGUCAGGCUGGUCUCGAACUCCUGACCUUGUGACCCGUCCACCUUGGCCUCCCAAAAUGCUAAGAUUACAGGCAUGAGCCAUCAUGCCCAGCCUAGUCCUUUUUUAAAAAAAAAAAAAAGAUGGCAUCUUACUUUGCAGCCAAGGCUGCUCUCAAACUCCUGAGGUUAAGCCAUCCUCCUGUCUUAGCCUCCCAAGUAGCUGGGACUACAGGGGUGCACCACCACAAUUAGCUAUUAUGCCAUUUAUUGCUGAAGAAAUUAAGUUACAGAGCAGUUAGUCAGUAGCAGAGCUGGGUGAGGAACCCAGGCCAUUUUGCUCUGGAGUGUGUGCUCUUAACCACUACAGUGUAUGCUCUCCUGCCUCUGAACCUUCACAGGCUCCUCUAGGCCCAGUGGGUUGCUGGAUUUUUAACAGCCACAAGAAACCAACACUAAUGCAGUGUGAGCCCCUCAGCUGGUCUGUACUGGGCACUGAUUAAUGCCUACUUGGUAUGAGACACUUCCAAGCCAUGAGCCGGCUCUACCCCUCUUCCUGGAAUGCCUUCAUCUAACCUCUAUUCCUGCCAUUAUCCUUCCACAUUCAGCUCAGAUAUCCCUUCCUCUGGGAAGCUCUCCCGACUUGACAGAAAUAACUUCUCCCUCGUGUGCUGUGCAGAUCCUGUGCAGACUCCAACUGGGUCCUUAUGUAAUUAUGCUUACGGUCGGUCCACCUGCCUCUACACUGUGAGGGCAGGAACUGUGUCUUGUUCCUUGCGUGUGGCUUUGGAUGCAAAGCAACGUACCUGGCCAAACUGGCAUUGAGGAGAUAUCUGUUGGAUUAAGUGACUCGAGGUGGAGCCUCCCCAAAAGGAGAAGCUAGGCCUCUCUUCCCCAUCACCUGCCUCACCAUGUCUAAUAAGAUGUCCACUUUCAGCCGCAAGAGAUUGUUCUCUUCCUCCAACUGCUGGUUCCGCCUGCGAAGGCGCUGAACCUCCCUCCGGUCCACACCGCCACUAACCCCUGUCUCUGGAGGAAGGACAGAACCAGUUAAAGGGGGAUUUCCUCCUACAAUCUUGUUUGACAAAAUGGCAGGAAGUGCAGCUCACCUGCUAUCCACUGGCCAUUUUCAAACUUCAGGCUUUGCCCUGCCAGGUUCAUAGUCGGGGAUCCGUAUUCCAAGCCCAGCUCCACCUCCCGGGUUGAUCGAUCCAACUGUGGGCGAGAUGCUAUGUGACAACUUCAGCAGGCCCGGAACACGCCUUCAUCCCAGCUCCUCUUCCGCCAACAAUAUGACCCCAACAACUCAUUUCUCUAAUCAUUACUUGGCACCUUUAAUGAUUUUUUUAAAGCCAUAAAAUCAAAUGAUGUACAGGAAAAGUUUAAUUGUGAGAUAAAAAAUAUACUGUUUUAUACAUUAGAUGUUUUCCAGAAAAGCUAUAUAUACUGAAAUUUAUAAAUUGAAUUAUUUUAUACCUACUUGACACUUAAUAGUUUAAGCAAUCCUACUAUAAACUGUUAAUCAAGUGAAAAAUUCUUUUUAAAUGUAAUAGUCCCCCAAGUUAUCAUUUGCUUAAUAUGGAGCUACAUAUGUUGUGGAAAAGACAUAAAAUUCUAACAAUUAGGAGGAAGAGGAGUUGCUUCUUAACGUGCGACAGUACAAUUUACAUAUUCUAUUCUUUUCUUUUCUUUUUUUUUUUUUUUGAGACGGAGUUUCGCUCUUUCACCAAGGCUGGAGUACAGUGGUGCGAUCUCAGUUCACUGCAGCCUCCGCCUCCCGGGUUCAAGUGAUCCUCCCAUCUCGGCCUCUGAAUAGCUGGGACUACAGGCAUGCACCACCAUACCCGGCUAAUUUUUGGGGUUUUUUUUGAGACGGAGUCUCACUCUUUCGCCUAGGCUGGAGUGCAGUGGCACAAUCUUGGCUCACUGCAACCUCUGCCUCCCAGGUUCAAGCAACUCUUCUGCCUCAGCUUCCCGAGUAGCUGGGACUACAGGCGCACGCCACCACACCUGGCUAAUUUUUGUAUUUUUUAGUAGAGACAGGGUUUCACCAUAUUGGCCAGGCUGGUCUCGAACUCCUGACCUUGUGAUCCGCCCACCUCAGCCUCCCAAAGUGCUGGGAUUAUAGACGUGAGCCACCGUGCCCGGCCUAAUUUUUGUAUUUUUUAAAGUAGAGUCAGAGUUUCGCCACAUUGGCCAGGCUGGUCUCAAACUCCUGACCUCAAGUGAUGCGCCCACCUCAGCCUCCUAAAGUGCUGGGAUUACAGGCAUGAGCCACUGCGCCUGGCCUAGAUAUUCAUUUCUACAACUCACUGAGCACCCACCCCGAUUCGGGACUCGGUACUGGGUAUCCAGGGAUGCGUAUGACCAGCUCUGCCCUCAAUAGCGGCUCAACACAGGGAGACCUUCAGGUUCUUGGAUAAACAAGCUCUGACGAUCAUUCCCAAACAAGAGUUCAAAAAUGUUUUCCGCAAUAGCAAUGAUAUGGACGGAAAGGAUGCCCUCCUGCACUGAUGCCUCUGGAGGACCACACUUUCCAUUCAGAGACACGCUCAGCACUCAACUCAUGCUGCACACCCGGCCGACCCCAGUACCGACACUCACAGAAUGCAGGUUGGAGAGAGAUGCCGACUUCCGAGGAGGUGUCUUCUUCGGACUGAACGUAUUCCCAAAGAAAGGCAUCUUUGGCCUGAUGAAAGCAAAGCCAGUGCUCCCUUCUCCUAGGGUCAGAAAAAGUCAGGGGUACAAGCAGCUGGAUCACUGACCUUAUGCCAUUGUCUUCAAAUCUUGAAGACAUACAUUUUAUCAUGUGGCUACUAACGAUCCUGGUGCUAUGGUUUGAAUGUCCCCACCAAAACUCAUGUUGAAAUUGAAUUGCCAUUGUUUAACAGUAUAAGGGGUGACUGGGCCAUGUGAGCUCUGCUCUCAUGAAUGGAUUAAUGCCAUUGUCAUGGAGUAGGUUAGUUUUCUCUGGCGUGGGCUCCUGGCAAAAGGAUGAGUUCUGCUGCCAUGCUGUCUGUCUCAUGCACUUGCUCACCAUGUGAGCCUUCUGCCUCACACAGGAUGACCCUCACCAGAUACUUGCACCAUGCUCUUGGACUUCCCAGUCUCCAGAACUGUGAGCCAAAUAAACUUCUUUUCUUUAUAAAUUACCCAGUCUGUGGUAAUCUGUAACAGCAGCACAAAAUGGAUUAAGACGCCUGGUAAUAGCUCCCAUGUGCUGAACGCUCCCUUUGUGCUACGCGGUAUGCUAAGAUUUUUUGGGUGGCACACAGUGGCGCAUGCCUGUAGUCCCAAUUACUUGGGAAGCUGAGGCUGGGGGGUCGCUGGAGCCCAGGGAGGUUGAGGCUGCAGUGAGCUGUGGUCCACUGCUGCUCUCCAGUCUAGGCUACAGAAUGAGAGACCAUGUCUCAAAAAAAAAAAGUUAGCCUGGCAUGGUGGCACACAACUACAGUCUCAGUGACUCAGGAGGCUGAGGUAGGCAGAUCACUUGAGCCCAGGAGUUUAAGACCAGCCUGGCCAACAUGGCAAAACUCUGUCUCUACAAAAAAUACAAAAAUUAGCCAGGUAUGGUGGUGCGUGCCUGUAGUCUCAGCUAUUCAGUAGGCUUAGGUGGGAGGAUCACUUGAACCUAUGAGUCUGAGCCUCCAGUGAGCUAUGAUCAUGCCACUGCACUCCAGCCUGAGUCAAAGAGCAUUACCCUGUCUCUAAAAAAAAAAAAAUAAAGAAAGAAAUGGCUGGGCACGGUGGCUCAUAUCUGUAAUCCCAGCACUUUGGGAGGCCGAGGCGGGCAAAUCAAGAGGUCAGGAGUUUGAGACCAGCCUGGCCAACGUGGUGAAACCCUGUCUCUACUAAAAAUACAAAAAAUUAGCUGGGCAUAGUGGCGGGUGCCUGUAAUCCCAGCUAGUUGGGAGGCUGAGGCAGGAAAAUUGCUUGAACCCAGGAGGCAGAGGUUGCAGUGAGCCGAGAUUGCGCCACUGCACUCCAGCCUGGGUGACAGAGCAAGACUCUGUCUCAAAAAUAAAUUAAAAAAAUAAAUAAAUAAAUGAGUAAAGCUAUGCUUAUAUUUCCUUUCCAGAUUGAUAACAGUGCUCCUCACUUGUCACCAGUGUCACUUGUCAACAGUGCACCUCAUAUGUCACGUUACCUGUUCUGUUAUGGAAGGUGACGUGAGGUGUCCUGAAAAGGGGGCAGGUCCACGACAUGGCGGAGCUGACAACAACACCCCCCCAACCUGUACAUUUGCUUUUAGCAUAAUGCAACCUAUUGCAAUUCACCUAGGCCUAGUUAAGUAGAUUUCCUGAUAACACCCUGGUUUUUGGGGAGAAAAGGAGGGGAGAAGCAAACUUUUUAUUUAGGCUGGGAGCAGUGGCUCACACCUGUAAUCCUAGCACUUUGGGAGGCCAGGGAGGGAGGAUUACUUGAGCACAGGAGUUCAAGACCAGCCUGGGCAACUUAGCAGGGCCCGUCUCUACCAAAAAAAGGUUAAAAAAGAAAAAAAAAUAUAUAUAUAUAUAACAUUAAUACAGAAAAGUCUACCACAAAUCAUAAGUGUAAGGUUUCAUGAGUUUUUACUACACAAGUAUAACCACCCUCCAGGGCCAGGCGUGGUGGUUUAUACCUGAAAUCCCAGCACUUUGGGAGGCCAAGGUGAGAGGAUUGCUUGAGCCCAAGAGUUCAAGACCAGCCUGAGUGACACAGCGAGACCCCCAUCUCUAAAAAAAUUAAAAUCAAGUAUUUUUUAAAUUUUAUUUUUUAUUUAUGAUUUUUUUUUUUGAGACAGAGCCCUGCUCUGUGCCUCAGCCUUGUAAAUAGCUGGGAUUACAGGUGUGUGCCACCAUGCCCAGCUAAUUUUUGUAUUUUUAGUAGAGACAGGGUUUUACCAUGUUGGCCAGGCUGGUCUCGAACUCCUGACCUCAAGUGACCUGCCCACCUUGGCCUCCCAAAGUGCUGGAAUUACAGGUGUGAACCAACGCACUGGCUCAAAACAUUUUUUUAAAACCACCCUCCAGAUUGGGAUACAGAGCAUUUCAGCACUCCAUAAGCCUCACCUGGCCACUGUACAUGCACAGAAUUGCACAGUGAGUCCUCGUUUGCAUCUGGCUUCUCACACUCAACGUCAUGUUUCUGACAUUUAUCCAUGCAGCUGUGUGUAGUUAUAGUUUGUUCAUUUGCAUUGCUGGAUAAUAUUCUAUUGUAUAAACACAGCAAAAUUUACUUGUCUACAGAAGAUGGACAUUUGAGCUGUUUGCAGUUUUGUUUUGUGUUUCUUGAGACAGGGUCUCGUUCUGGUCCCCCAGGUUGGAGUGCAGUGGUACCAUCUCUGUUCACUGUAGCCUCAACCUCCCAGGCUCAGGUGAUCCUCCCAUCUCAGCCUCAUGGGUAGCUGGGACUAUAGGCACGCACCACCAUGCUGGCUAAUUUUCUGCAUUUUUAAUAGAGAUGGGAGUUUCGUCAUGUUGCCUAGUCUGGUCUUGAACUCUUGGGCUCACGUGAUCUGCCUGCCUCAGCCUCCCAAAAUGCUGGAAUUACAGGUAUGAACCACCACACCCGGCCUGUUUCCAGUUUUUGACCACCAAAAAUAGUGCUGCUAGGCCAGGCAUGGUGGCUUAUGCCAGUAAUCCUAGCACUUUGGGAGGCCAAGACAGGAGGAUCACUUGAUGCCAGGAGUUCAAGACCAGCCUAGGCAACAUAAUGAGACCUCAUCUCUACAAAAAAUUGAAAAAUCAGCCAGGCGUGGUGGUGUACCCUUGUAGUCCUAGCUACUCAGGAGGCUGAGGUGGAAGGAUUGCUUCAGCCCAGGAGUUUGAGGCUGCAGUGAGCUGUGAUCACCACUGCACACUUCAGUCUGGGCAACAGAGCAAGACCCUGUCUCAAGAAAAAAAAAAACUACUGCUAAGAACAUAAGACUUGAGCAUGUAUAUCUACAUGCAUAUGUACACUUUUCUGGUUCCAUACUUAGGGGUAUAACUAUAGAGUCACAGAGCAUUCAUAUAUUUAGCUUUAACAGAUUCUGCCAAAUGGUUUUCCAAAGUCAUUGUACCAAUUUAGACUCCUAUCUGUAGUUUGCAAGAGAUCCUUGUCAAUAUCUGGCACUUUCUUUUUCAUCUUUUCCAUUCUGGCAGGUAUGUAAUGGUGUUGCAUUGUUUAAUUUGCUUUUCCCAAAUAACUAAUUAAGUUGAGCAUCAUUUAACAUACUCCUUGGACAUAUAUGGAUUUUUUUGUGGCAUGCUUAUUCAUGUAUUUUGCUUUUUUUUUUUUUUUUUGAGAUGGAGUCUCCCUCUGUCAUCGGGCUGGAGUGCAGUGGCACAAUCUCAGCUCACUGCAACCUCUGCCUCCCAGGUUCAAGUGAUUCUCCUGCCUCAGCCUCCCGAGUAACUGGGAUUACAGGAACACACCACCAUGCCCAGCUAAUUUUUGUAUUUUUAAUAGAGACAGGGUUUCGCUAUGCUGGCCAGGCUUGUCUCGAACUCCUGACCUCAAGCAAUCUGCCCGCCACAGCCUCCCAAAGUGCUAGGAUUAUAGGCAUGAGCCACCGCGCCCAGCCCUCUUUUGCCAUUUUUUAAAAUUGAGCUGUCUAUCAUGUUCAUUUUGUAAGGGUUUGUAAGGGUAUUUAUAUACGCUGGAUACAAGUUUCACUACUGUAUAUAUGUACAGUACUGAAAAUAUCUUCUCCCACUUUUUUCUUUUUGCUUUCUCCUUCUUUUUUUUUUUUGAAACACAGUCUCGCUCUGUCACCCAGGCUGGAGUGCAGUGGUGCUAUCUUGGCUCACUGCAACCUCUGCCUCCCAGGUUCAAGAGAUUCUCCUGUCUCAACCUCCCAAGUAGCUGGGAUUACACACACCUGCCACUAAACCCAGCUAAUUUUUGUGUUUUUAGUAGAGAUGGGGUUUUGCCAUGUUGGCCAGGCUGGUCUCGAACUCCUGACCUCAAGUGAUCCACCCACCUCCGCCUCCUAAAGUGCUGGAAUUACAGUCAUGAGCCACUGCGCCCGACCUCUUUUUGCUUUCUUUUUUUUUCCUUUUUUUUUUUUUUUUUUGGAGACAGAGUUUCGCUCUUGUGGCCCAGGCUGAAGUGCAAUGGCGCCAUCUCAGCACACCGCAACCUCCACCUCCCGGGUUCAAGUGAUUCUCCUGCCUCAGCUUCCCAAGUAGCUGAGAUUACAGGCAUGCGCCACCACGCCCGGCUAAUUUUUGUAUUUUUAGUAGAGACAGGGUUUCUCUAUGUUGGUCAGGCUGGUCUCGAACUCCCAACCUCAGGUGAUCCACCCACCUCAGCCUCCCAAAGUGCUGGGAUUACAGGUGUGGGCCACCGCGUCCGGCCUCUUUUUGCUUUCUUAAUGCAACCUCCGCCUCCCGGGUUCAAGCGAUUCUCCUGCUUCAGCCUCCCAGGUAGCUAGGACUAUAGGCACGCACCACCACAUCCAGCUAAUUUGUGUAUUUUUAGUAGAGACGGGGUUUCACCAUGUUGGCCAGGAUGGUCUCAAUCUCUUGACCUCGUGAUCCACCUGCCUCGGCCUCCCAAAGUGCUGAGAUUACAGGUGUGAGCCACAGCUCCCAGCCAGAAGUUCUUAAUUAUAAUGAAAUCCAAUUAUUUAUUUAUUUAUUUAUUUAUUUUGAGAUCAAGUCUUACUCUGUCGCCCAGGCUGGAGGGCAGUGAUGUGAUCUCAGCUGACUGCAACCUCUGCUUCCUGGGUUCAAGCAAUUCUCCUGCCUCAGCCUCCUGAGUAGCUGGGAUUACAGGCGCCUGCCACCACACCCAACUAAUGUUUGUACUUUUAGCAGAGAUGGUGUUUCGCCAUGUUGGCCAGGCUGGUCUUGAAUUCCUGACCUCCCAAAGUGCUGGGAUUACAGGCAUAAGCCACUGCACCCAGCCCAAUUUAUUAUUAUUUCUUAAUGAUUAGUGCUUGUAUUGUAUUUUUAAAAUGUUUGCCUACCCCAGGCUGGGUAUGGUGCCUCAUGCCUAUAAAUCCUAGCACUUUGGGAGGCAGAGGCAGGCAAAUAACUUGAGUCCAGGAGUUCAAGACCAUCCUGGGCAACAUGGCAAACAAAACCCUGUCUCUACCAAAGAUACAAAAAAUUAGCUGGGCAUGGUGGUGUACGCCUGUGGUCCCAGCUAUUCAGGAGGCAGAGGUGGGAGGAUUGCUUGCGCCCAGGAGCCAGAGGUUGCAGUGAGCUGAGAUUAUGACACUGCACUCCAGCUUGGGUGACAGAGUGAGAUCCUGUCCCCCGCCCCCCAAAAAAAAUUGCCUACCCCAAGGUCAUGAUGAUAUUUUCUGUUAACUUCUGGUAAUAUUAUUGUUUGCAUUUCACAUUUGUGACUAUAAUUCAUCUUGAAUUAAUAUUUGUAUAUGAUGUAAAACAGGGGUUAGUGUUCUUUUUUUCCCCAUAUAUCACCCAAUUUUUUAUUUUAUUUAUUUAUUUAUUUUUUUUUUUGAGACAGAGUCUCAUUCUGUUGCCCAGGCUAGAGUGCAGUGGCGUGAUCUCGGCUCACUGCAGCCUCAACCUCCCAGGUUCAAGCGAUUCUCCCACCUCAGCUUCCCAAGUAGCUGAGAUCACAGGCACGCGCCACUAGGCCCAGCUAAUUUUUGUGUCUUUUGUAGAGACGGGGUUUCGCCAUGUUGCCCAGGCUGGUCACGAACUCCUGAGCUCAAGCGACUGGCCCAACUUGGCCUCUCAAAGUGCUGGGAUUACAGGCCUGAGCCACCACGCCUGGCCUAUAUUAUUCAAUUUUAAUUUAUAUCACGCACACAGCUUACAAAGAAUCCUUCUAAGAAGCCAUAGACUGAAGAGAACAACAAUGACGGCACAAGUGAGCAAAAAGAAAACAGCCGACCUCUCACUGCUCCUCCUGGGCGUAAGGUCUUCCUUCACUACAUUAUGAAAUAAAAGCAGUAACGGGUUAACUGGAUCUGACAAGAAAUGGGCCAAAAAAGGCAGGAGGAGGGGUUGGUAUCUUUUCAAGACUAUUUGAAACAAGGUUUUAUAUCCAUUAUCAUUAAAAGAGAAUUCAAAGUAUGAAUCCAUCACAAUCAGCAAGAUAUGUAUCCAAUGAGAACAGGAAAAAAAACUUCCAGGCUGUUUUCAUUAAGGGAGAAAUUGAUCUCACUAAAAUUAAUGAUAAAAGUUAAGAAGCUUCUUUGGAAUGUAUGUAAAACAUACAAUACAUAAGUAUAUGUAUAUGUAAUUUAUAAAUAAAUGAAGGUAUUUGGGGUUAUGUGCUCAUGACAGCUUUCCUGGUAGUUACGUGUUUGAAUUAAAAACAAUCAUACAGUGGCUCACGCCUGUAAUCCCAGCACUUUGGGAGGCCAAGGCAGGUGGAUCACCUGAGGUCAGAAGUUCGAGACCAGUCUGGCCAACAUGGUGAAACCCUGUCUCUACUAAAAAUGUACAAAAAUUAGCCGGGAGUGGUGGUGCUCACCUGUAAUCCCAACUGCCUGGGAGGCUGAGGCACAAGAAACGCUUGAACCUGGGAGGCGGAGGUUGCGGUGAGCCGAGAACACACCACUGCGCUCCAGCCUGGGUGACAGAACGAGACUCUGUCUCAAAAAUAAAAUAAACUAAAAUAAAAUCAUAAAAAUAAAAAGAAUCAUAGACCAGCAACUUAGGGGAUGGCAUUUGGGCCUGGGCACAGCACUUUAGAACUUGGACAAACCAGAGUGCUUCCAGCUUGGUAGUGGAGGGGACGGGGUGGGGACCAAGAUGCAGAGGGGGGUUGAUGCUAUGUCACCAUCCAAAACACAUUGUAAGGCCCUGGCACUGUUUCUGCUGGAGAAGAGAAAGAGGUUAGAAGAGGGAAAAGCAUUAAUCUUAUGUCUGUAAUCUUAUGUAAAGGACAGAACAAAAAUAAAAUAGGAAUAUCCAUGAAUAAAGUUCUGGAGACUGAGGCAGGAGAAUCGCUUGAACCCAGGAGGUGGAGGCUGCGGUGAGGGAGAUCGUGUCAUUGCGCUCCAGCCUGGGCAACAAGAGUGAAACUCCGUCUCAAAAAUAAAUAAAUAAAUAAAGAUGAAAAUGCUAGGGUUUGGGGUAGUUUCCCAAUUUUCCCAAGGUGCAUAGCCAUGAUCAGUUGGCUGAAGGUGUAUAUGCGUCUGCGUGUGUGUGUGUGUGUGUGUGUAUGUACCUGUACACACACAUAUAUGGUAUACGUGUAUAUACAUAUGGUGUGUGUGUGUCUAUAUACACAUGUAUAUACUUAUCCUUGUAUUAGUAACAUGUGAGGCACAUCAUUAAAAGAUGCAUUUUCGGCCUGGUGUGGUGGCUCAUGCCUGUAAUCCCAGCACUUUGGGAGGCCGAGGCAGGUGGAUCACUUGAGGUCAGGAGUUCAGGACCAGCCUGGCCAACACAGUGAAACCCCGUCUCUACUAAAAACACAAAAAUUAGCCAGGCGCGGUGGCAUGAGC
rnacentral:lncRNA from 1 species